UUUUCCAUAGCCAAAUGGUUACUGGCACAACAGAAUCGAAAUCUGUUUCUGCGUAGGUUCGAAACCUGCCGACAAAG